AUGAAGAACGCAGCGAAAUGCGAUAAGUAAUGCGAAUUGCAGAAUUUCCGUGAGUCAUCGAAUCUUUGAACGCACAUUGCGCCCGCCAGUAUUCUGGCGGGCAUGCCUGUUCGAGCGUCAUUUCAACCAUCAAGCCCCCGGCUUGUGUUGGGGACCUGCGGCUGCCGCAGGCCCUGAAAAGCAGUGGCGGGCUCGCUGUCACACCGAGCGUAGUAGCAUACAUCUCGCUCUGGGCGUGCUGCGGGUUCCGGCCGUUAAACCACCUUCAUAACCCAAGGUUGACCUCGGAUCAGGUAGGAAGACCCGCUGAACUUAAGCAUAUCAAUAAGCGGAGGA
rnacentral:misc_RNA from 1 species